GAUGAACGCUGGCGGCGUGCCUAAUACAUGCAAGUCGAGCGAACGGACGAGAAGCUUGCUUCUCUGAUGUUAGCGGCGGACGGGUGAGUAACACGUGGAUAACCUACCUAUAAGACUGGGAUAACUUCGGGAAACCGGAGCCAAUACCGGAUAAUAUUUUGAACCGCAUGGUUCAAAAGUGAAGGACGGUCUUGCUGUCACUUAUAGAUGGAUCCGCGCUGCAUUAGCUAGUUGGUAAGGUAACGGCUUACCAAGGCAACGAUGCAUAGCCGACCUGAGAGGGUGAUCGGCCACACUGGAACUGAGACACGGUCCAGACUCCUACGGGAGGCAGCAGUAGGGAAUCUUCCGCAAUGGGCGAAAGCCUGACGGAGCAACGCCGCGUGAGUGAUGAAGGUCUUCGGAUCGUAAAACGCUGUUAUUAGGGAAGAACAUAUGUGUAAGUAACUGUGCACAUCUUGACGGUACCUAAUCAGAGAGCCACGGCUAACUACGU
rnacentral:rRNA from 1 species